AGGAAAUCCUCCAAGUAAAGAUUGCGAGAACUGAGGUGACUGACAUUUGCUUGUUUGUUUGUUUGUUUGUUUUCAAAGUACGAGCAGGUGCAAACCUCCCUAGUUGAAGAGACCCUGUCACUGGAAGAGGAAGAGCCCUUCAAGACUCCGUGGAGGUUGCUGGCAGGAGCAUAUCGGGGACAUCGGCUGAUUUAUUUGCUUAUUCAGUAGGCUGUUUCGGCUGUUUGGUCUGACCUGCCCAGACUGUCACUGAGAUAUUUGGAAGCUUGAACAUACAGGCUGGGGCUCUGCUACAGAGCAUGCUCAUGACUCCCUUCUGGCUGCAGACUGGGUUUUCUUCCAUGGAAAGCCAGAGGUGGUUUGAAUCCACAAGACAUCCCAGUGUGGAGUCAGGGUACAGCUGUGCCGGGCAGCUAGGCUCAAGAGCACCGAAGAACUAAAACAUCCUGUAAUACUGGAGUCACAGUCAGCUCUCGUUCUGCUCAUGCCCAGAAGACUUGCCUGCCUGAACCUGCUUUCCUUCCACCCCUGAGGCCAUGCAGGUGUGAUGCAGUACUAGGAGGGCGCCCAAACUGCCCACGGUCACAGCCCUAUGAACCACCACACACUGCAACCCACUUGCUACUCACCACACUUGCCAUCCAAGAACUGAUAAGUCUUGGAUAAAUUCUGGGAUGCUGAUUUUCACCUCAGAUUUUCACUUUCAACUCGUUUGGCUAGAAAAGAGUAACUGGUGGCAAGAGCACUGUUGGAUAAUGCAAAGCUCAGUGUGUCAGAGGAGCUACAAUGUAAUCAAGGAAACCAAGUGGAGGUCUUGUGAUUUGUCAUGGGCGACAAACGUGGAGUGAGGUGGAAGCCACAGGAUCUCAUUCUUCUACCUGAUACCUGGAAUAUUUUGUACAAACCAAGUACACCUCCUAUGGAAAAAUAUUCUGUACAAUGCAACAACAAAGAAUGCAAGGUUUGACUGUGGCCCCACUUGGAGCACUUUGCAAAAUAGUGGUUAGUAAGAUAUGAAAUUGGGGUACAUUUUAUACCUAAGUGGGGGGAUGAGAAUUUGACACAAAAUUGCAGGGACAGGUUGAUGGGUUUGUCCUCCUUGCCCUCCCUAGAAGGGAUACCUUUUGCUAAGCCUUGUGUCCUCAGCUAUGCUGAGUGUUGAUCCAGGAUAUUCAGCUUGUGAUUGCAGUCAUAUUGUUAGUGCUACAUACAGCUAUUCUGCAGUUAAUGCCUUUAUCACUGGCAAUCCAAAAGAACCAAAGAUGUUGCAGCCAAUAAAUCCUGCUACUUUCUGAAUGCAACCAGGCCUAUAUAUCAUAGAUGAUCUGUGAACUCAGCAUCGAGUCCAUAGUUACACAUCUGUGAGAAGCAGCAGCUAAAGAGCAGCUGAGUAAUGUCUGGGUUCCUGGGCUCUGAAUUUGAAACUGAAUGUGCUUCUAACCACAAAACUAUUAAAAAAGGGUUAGUAAUUCUAUUACAACUUGAUAUUUUAGAAAGGAUUGCUAUAAUUGAAGAAAACCAUUUUUUGGGUGUUUCAAUUCAAUAUUCCUCAUGAAUACAGAGAAUGCCUCACAUCAAACUUUUGGAUUUAGAUAAAGAAAUUACAGAAAAAUCCAUGGAAUUGUAUCACAUUUUUACACAAGACUGAAGACUGACCAGUAAUUUUUAUGUAAAUAACAUUUUCCCAAGCAACCAUAUGUGAUUUUCAUUAAGCAAUUCCUUCCACUCCUUUUUUAGUCAUACCAGCGUGAGAAACUGGAAACCUGAAAGAGUUAAUGUCUCAAACAUUUGGCAGAAGGUAAAAGGAAUGUUAGCAUGCCAACUAGAUAAGGUGCAGUUAAAAAAAGAGGGUCUUGUGGAAGCAGAAGAGUGCUUUUCUGUGGUCAACUUGCUUAUCUUGAGGAACUAUUUCUAAAAACAAGUUUGAGACAGCAGUGCACUUGUACCUGUCAGGGGAAGGGAUUUGAAACCAUGAGACCCCCUAGCCUCAUUCUGAAAAGUUCAAGAAUAACAAAAUGCACAUGACUGGUUUAUAAAAUGCAAGGACUGGUUUAUAAGUAGCAAAACAGAGAGGGGCAGGGUGUGAACCCAUCAUCCCUGCACUCACCAUCCGCAGGAACUGGACCAGAGACAGUGCUGGAACUCUGGUGAGCCAGAUAUUUUCUUCUCUAUUUCCCCUAUCUAUCCUUUUCCUUUCUUCCUCUUCCUAAAAGUUUAAUUUGUUGUUGCCACAUGUUGUCCAGAAAAGCUUAAUCCACAAGCUGCUCAGAAACCACUGCUGCUACAUGUUAUUCAAAAAUGUUGAAGUUGCUGCUACAGACCGUCCAGCCUACCCUAAAGUUUAAAUCGUUGUUGCCUGUCCAUGAACCUGAAGGCUAACUGAUUGCCUUUCUUUCGCCACAAUUCAGCACAGGGUAUCCCAAGCAUCAGCUACCUCAGCGUAGGUGGCCUGGGACUGCCCCCUAGGGACCCACAACCAGUCAGAACAAGAUCCCCCCAGAAACUAAGAAACCCUUUGUCUUUAGGCAGACUAAAUUUCUAAAUGCAACAACGAUUAAUUAUUAAAACAUAGACAAUAGAAAUAACAAUUCAAAAUCUAUAACACUCCUUCAGGAAUGCAGAAAGUAAUUUUGAUGGUAACAAUACCAAUUUUCACAAUAGCCUUUUCACAUUGAAACAUCUCUGAAAACUGGGGCUUUUUUCCACUUUGUGUAUCAUAGCUAACUGCUGGUUUUGCCCACGAGCUGCUGAGAAGCCUGCUACAAGCCCUGCAGAGCUGGAGUAGUCCAUCAAGACAAGGUGUGUGGGAAAGUUUCUGGGGCUCAGUGAUGCUCGUCAGAUGCACUGAGCCACCUUUGCUUCUAGAGUCAUUCUAGCCAAGACAACUAUCACUUUAUCACCUACAUUUGUGUGUUUAUAUGGACAAAAAAUUAAGGUGUACUUUUUAAAUGCAAUUUAGAAAUUGAAGAAAGGCAGAGAAAAUAACCUAGCAUAUUUAAACAACCAAGAAAUACAAAAGCUUGAUAUAAGAAGUUGGUCUUACUUAAACAACACCUUUGCUUUUUUACAUUAGGAUGCAUUUACUAUUUAAGUAGAAGCUGAAAAGAAAAUGGAUAUAUGUGCUGCCACAAUAUAGUUUCAAUUUAAUGACAAUGCAUUUAGAUGAUUAAAAAUAUUUCAAUUAUGCUAUAAAAAAGAUCAUAUGACUAUUAAUUUCCCCUUUUGUCUAAACAUAAUAAAAUAAAUCCCAUAAUUAAGAAUUAGGUAGAGUCAGUCAGACUAAUGUCUUACACCUUGUAUCAGUGAAUGGGCAGUACAUUCUUUCUCAUCUCUGAAACACUACUGAUAAGGAAACACAAUAUUCAAACUUGUCAGUCAUAAUAAUAAAUAAUAUGAUAAUAAAAGCCAUCAGUAUUUCUAAGUGCUAAUACAUUUAAACAUAUUUUGUUACAGCUUGUCACGUAAUGAAGACAAAACCAUUGAGUAAGCAUUUUGGUGUGUCACAUUUACAUUAUAUCAUCCUUAUUUCCUAAAUACUAUUUCAUCAUUAACUUCAAGUGAAAUCAGUGCACAAGGCUGGGAAGUGCAUUGCAUUUAAAAUCAAAUUCCCUGCUGUCUGAUGUACUUACACCAAGCAAGUAAUCUUCUAAAAAGGAAUAAUUACCAUUGCCUCCAUCCUCCCCUCCCUCUCACAUUUUCAUUUUUCUGGUUUCACUACUUUAUUUUCUAUCACAUAAGAAACUUCAGACAAUAGGAAAAAAAAAAAAAAAGAUGUGGUAUAACUUGGGACAAAUCACUCAUACCUGCUGGAAACCUGAAUCCUGCAGUGAAACCACUCUGCAGAAGAGGCAGAUCCAGAAGGAGCACAGCACCCCCUUCUUCACUGCCCUGUAUCUAUGCACUGGAGCCACUGCAAUCAGCAUGAGGCUGUGUGGAACUCAAGUUGGGAGGCAAGGACAAGUCAGCCAGGCUACUCAGACUCACAGAAUCAUAGAGAUGGUUUGGGUUGCAAGAGGAUCUUGAAGAUUGUCUAGUUUCAAAGCCCCUGCCACAGGCAGGGAUACCAUCAACCACGCCAGGUUGCUCAAAGCUCCAUCUAACCUGGCCUUGAACACCUCCAGGGAUGGAACACCCACAGCUUCCCCAGGAAAUCUAUUCCAUUCCCUCACCACCCUCAGAGAAAAGAUUUUUUUCCUGAUAUCUGAUCUAAACCUACACUUUUUCACUUUGAAGCCACUCCCCCUUGUCCUGUCACUACAUGCUCUUGUAAAGUCUUGCCCCAUCUUUUGUGUAAGUUCCUUUCAGGCCCUGGAAGGCUACUGUUUGUCCUCCAAGUUCUCUUUUUUCCAGGCUGAACAAUCCCAACUCUCUCAACCUUUCCUUACAGAAGUGCACCAUCUCUCUGACCAACUUGGUGGCAUCCUCUGGACUCGCUCCAGGUCAGUGUUGGAGACCCCAGAGCUGGAUGCAGCACUCCAGGUCAGGCCUCACCUCACCAGGGCAGAGGGGCAGAAUCACCUCCCUUACCCUACUGGCCAUGCUGCUUUUGAGGCAGCCCAGGACACAACUGAUUUCUGGGCUAAACCAAACCGUACAGCACAAGGGUCUGGAUUUCCUUGAGCAGAUGAGAGAGUAAGCACUUGCCCCAGGGGCUGAGCAGAGAAGGCUGCCUCUCCACUGCUGCUGAGAAGUAAUAGACAUUUCCCCCAUUUGAGGCCUCCAGCAUUUCCCCAGCUCCUGAGGAGGUGCAGCAAAAGGCUGCUCAGUAUGGCACUGUUCAGGACCAUGCCGGUCCCAGAGAGCAAUGCAGCAGCCUUGGAGCUGCUCUAGCUUCACCUUGCUGCAAGGAGAGUAGCAGAGAGAGCAGAGUCAAGCUCACAGCCUCUCUUUGCCCAGGCAGGGUGAGGUGGUUUGUGCUAGUGUUGUACCACAGCCAGAUUGACUGGCAGCAGCCUGAAUGAAGAUCUAUCACAGCAGUCUUGUUAAGCCACUGAAUCACAGCUGCUGCUUGCCACUGUCCAUUCUCAGUAUGCUUCAGUAUGCUAAAGUGGAGAAAUGAGGGCAAAAGAAACAGCAGCGUGUAUGAAAAAAACAUGUCGUGCCUUUAUUCAAUUUUACAAUGGACUCUUCUUCAAAGUGCCUUUACAUAACACACAUGGAAACUUUGGCAUUACUUAUAUAAAUAUAUCAAAAGGAAAAAAUAUUUUUUAAAAAACA